rnacentral:rRNA from 1 species
AUUGAACGCUGGCGGCAGGCCUAACACAUGCAAGUCGAACGGUAACAGGAAGACGCUUGCUUCUUUGCUGACGAGUGGCGGACGGGUGAGUAAUGUCUGGGAAACUGCCUGAUGGAGGGGGAUAACUACUGGAAACGGUAGCUAAUACCGCAUAACGUCGCAAGACCAAAAAGGGGGACCUUCGGGCCUCUUGCCAUCGUAUGUGCCCAGAUGGGAUUAGCUAGUAGGUGGGGUAACGGCUCACCUAGGCGACGAUCCCUAGCUGGUCUGAGAGGAUGACCAGCCACACUGGAACUGAGACACGGUCCAGACUCCUACGGGAGGCAGCAGUGGGGAAUAUUGCACAAUGGGCGCAAGCCUGAUGCAGCCAUGCCGCGUGUAUGAAGAAGGCCUUCGGGUUGUAAAGUACUUUCAGCGGGGAGGAAGGGAGUAAAGUUAAUACCUCUGCUCAUUGACGUUACCCGAAGAAGAAGCACCGGCUAACUCCGUG